rnacentral:rRNA from 1 species
AUUGAACGCUGGCGGCAGGCUUAACACAUGCAAGUCGAGCGGGGUGAUGGUGUUUGCACUAUCACUUAGCGGCGGACGGGUGAGUAAUGCUUAGGAAUCUGCCUAUUAGUGGGGGACAACAUCUCGAAAGGGAUGCUAAUACCGCAUACGUCCUACGGGAGAAAGCAGGGGAUCACUUGUGACCUUGCGCUAAUAGAUGAGCCUAAGUCGGAUUAGCUAGUUGGUGGGGUAAAGGCCUACCAAGGCGACGAUCUGUAGCGGGUCUGAGAGGAUGAUCCGACACACUGGGACUGAGACACGGCCCAGAGUCCUACUGGAGGCAGCAGGUGGGAAUUUGGGACAAUGGGGGGAACCCUGAUCAAGCCAUGCCGCGUGUGUGAAGAAGGCCUUAUGGUUGUAAAGCACUUUAAGCGAGGAGGAGGCUCUUUUGGUUAAUACCCAAGAUGAGUGGACGUUACUCGCAGAAUAAACACCGGCUAACUCUGUGCCAGCCGCCGCCGUAACAC